rnacentral:rRNA from 1 species
AUACAGAGGGCUCGAGCGUUGAUCGGAAUCAUUGGGCUUAAAGGGUACGUAGGCGGGCUUGAAAGUAUCUUGGGAAAUCCCACGGCUCAACCGUGGAACUGCGAGGUAAACUUCAAGUCUUGAGAUCGGUAGAGGUUGUCGGAACAAUAGGUGGAGCGGUGAAAUGCGUAGAUAUCUAUUGGAACGCCAAAGGAGAAGUCAGACAACUGGGCCGAAUCUGACGCUGAGGUACGAAAGCGUGGGUAGCGAACGGGAUUAGAAACCCUAGUAGUCC